rnacentral:rRNA from 1 species
ACGAACGCUGGCGGCGUGCUUAACACAUGCAAGUCGAACGGUGAAGCGCCUUCCUUUUUGGUGUGUGUGGAUGAGUGGCGAACGGGUGAGUAACACGUGAGUAACCUGCCCCCUUCUUCUGGAUAACCGCAUGAAAGUGUGGCUAAUACGGGAUAUUCUGGCUCUGUCGCAUGAUGGGUCUGGGAAAGAUAUUGUUUCGGUGGGGGAUGGGCUCGCGGCCUAUCAGCUUGUUGGUGGGGUGAUGGCCUACCAAGGCGGUGCCGGGUAGCCGGCCUGAGAGGGUGGCCGGCCUGAGUGGGACAGAGGCACGGUCGGGACUGCGACGGGAGGCAGCAGUGUGGGGUAGUGCACAGUGGGGGCAAGUGUGAUGCAGCGACGCCGCGUGAGGGGUGGAGGCCUGCGGGUUGUGAACGUCUUUCGCCAGUGAAGCAGGCCUGCCUGGUUUGUGGGUGGGUUGACGGUAGCUGGAUAAGAAGCGCCGGCUAACUACGUG